rnacentral:rRNA from 1 species
CCUACGGGUGGCUGCAGUGGGGAAUAUUGCGCAAUGGGCGAAAGCCUGACGCAGCGACGCCGCGUGAGGGAUGAAGGUCUUCGGAUCGUAAACCUCUGUCAGCAGGGAAGAACGGUCACUGUGCUAAUCAGCAGUGAAUUGACGGUACCUGCAAAGGAAGCACCGGCUAACUACGUGCCAGCAGCGGCGGUAAGACGUAGGGAGCGAGCGUUGUCCGUAUUUACUGGGUGUGAAGGGAGUGUAGGCGGGUCUGCAAGUUGGGUGUCAAAACUACCGGCUCAACUGGUAGUCGCACUCAAAACUGGAGAUCUUGAGUGAAGUAGAGGCAGGCGGAAUUCCUAGUGUAGCGGUGAAAUGCGUAGAUAUUAGGAGGAACACCAGUGGCGAAGGCGGCCUGCUGGGCUUUUACUGACGCUGAGGCUCGAAAGUGUGGGGAGCAAACAGGAUUAGAUACCCUUGUAGUC